CUCAUCAUGCAAUGAAGCACAUACCCUCAGAGCUUGAGAUCAGCGCCCAGGGGGAGGGGAGGAAGGAGGAAGCUGCUGAGAAGCCUCCAUCCCCUCUGCCCAGUGAAAUGGGAGGCUGGUCCAGGGGCACUGGCCACAGUCAGCAGAGGGCUUUGCCCAGGGGCGCCACCAUUUGAGCCACACCCUGCUGAAGGACCCAGAGCGUAGAUGGCACAGCCAGAUGGUGGAGCACAUGCCAGCACUCAGGAGACAGAAGCAGGAGGAACGAGCGUUCAAGGCCAACCUCCAGGCAAAUUUCCCAGACAGCUGGAGCUAUGUGAGACCCCGACUCGGGACAAAAUUAAAUAAACUGUAAGCCAGUGAUGGACUGUGACCUGGAAGUGAUUUCUGCCCUGACCUCGCCGGAUGAUGGACUGUGACCUGGAAGGGAAAAAAAAACAAAACACCAAUACCAUCGAAUGAUGGAAGACUUGAGGUGUUUUGACGGAGUGUUGGCUAAUCCCUAGCAACUGGCUCUCUCAGGAAAGAUACCCUGGUCUGCGGAAGUUGCCAAUCGCUGUGGUGUGACUACUUCGAGCAUGGCUGAACUGCCACUUGCUCCUGGUGGAGUGGUAGGUUGAUAUGGCCACUUCAUAAAACCGCUUGAGGAUGACCAUAAAGGAUCAGAGGCAAAUUCUACUCCUAGGUAAGGGUGCCAAAAGACACACAUUAGUUCCCGUGGGUAAAAACUGAAAACCUAAGUCUAGUGGUGGUGGGGUGUGUCUUUAAUCCCAGCCCUUAGGAGGCAGAGGCAGGUGGAUCUCUGAGUUCGAGGCCAGCCUGGUCUACAGAGUGAGUUCCAGGACAGCCAGGGCUGCACAAGAGAAACCCUGCCUCAAAAAACAAAAACGAACAAGCAAACAAACCCCUGAAGAACCAGAAUGCACACGUGGCAACAUACUCUCACAACAGAAUACUAUGCCACAGUGAAAACAGACGAGCAACUACACAGAACAACCAGAUGAGGCUCUAGCCUUAACUACGUAAGUUCAAAGCCAGGUGACACUCCCCUAGCCAGUGGCUACCUGGGGAGGACCAAACCAGUGUGGCUAGGAUGCGCACAAGAGACAGUUUCCUAGUUGGUCUCUGAUGUUGCAUCCUCCUAAAACCUGCAGAGGCCUCAUCUCCCUAGCUUCAGGGGCUGGAGCCAUUGCUGGCUGUGAUCGGAAGGCCCAGUGAGAAGGCAGCCGUGUGCAAGCUAAGAAGAAAGCCCACGCCAGAAGCCGGCCCUUUCAGCCGGCUGUUGGUGCUGGAUGUCCCAGCCUCCACAACUGUGAGAAAUGGGUCUGCUGCGGACGCUGUGACACAGCCAGUCAGGUUACACAGACGUGUUCAAGUGGUGAUUAUGCAUAACCCCUGAUUAAUACACUCUUCUGCAUGAAUUGCUUACUUCAAUAAAGUUCAUUAAAUUAA